rnacentral:rRNA from 1 species
UACGGGGGCAAGCGUUGUUCGGAAUUACUGGGCGUAAAGGGCUCGUAGGUGGCCAACUAAGUCAGACGUGAAAUCCCUCGGCUUAACCGGGGAACUGCGUCUGAUACUGGAUGGCUUGAGUUUGGGAGAGGGACGCGGAAUUCCAGGUGUAGCGGUGAAAUGCGUAGAUAUCUGGAGGAACACCGGUGGCGAAGGCGGCGUCCUGGACCAACACUGACACUGAGGAGCGAAAGCCAGGGGAGCAAACGGG